rnacentral:rRNA from 1 species
GACGAACGCUGGCGGCGUGCUUAACACAUGCAAGUCGAACGGAAAGGCCCCUUUGGGGGUACUCGAGUGGCGAACGGGUGAGUAACACGUGAGUAACCUGCCCUUGACUUCGGGAUAACUUCAGGAAACUGGGGCUAAUACCGGAUAGGAAUCCUUGCUGCAUGGUGGGGGUUGGAAAGCUUCGGCGGUUUUGGAUGGACUCGCGGCUUAUCAGCUUGUUGGUGGGGUAGUGGCUUACCAAGGCUUUGACGGGUAGCCGGCCUGAGAGGGCGACCGGCCACAUUGGGACUGGGAUACGGCCCAGACUCCUACGGGAGGCAGAAGUGGGGAAUAUUGCACAAUGGGCGGAAGCCUGAUGCAGCAACGCCGCGUGCGGGAUGACGGCCUUCGGGUUGUAAACCGCUUUCAGCAGGGGCGAAGCUUGUGGUGACGGUACCUGCAGAAGAAGCACCGGCUAACUACGUG